rnacentral:lncRNA from 1 species
ACACUUUUUUCCCCACCUUUCCUCCACCUUUUUCGCUUUUUAUCCACUUUUUCCACUUUUUAUCCACUUUUCCCCACCUUUCCUCCACUUUUUCCACCUUUUUCCACAUUUCCUCCACCUUUAUCCACUUUUCCCACCUUUUAUCCCCAUUUUUCCCACCUUCCCUCCACUUUUCCCACAUUUCCUCCACCUUUUAUCCCUUUUUCCACCUUUUCCACCCUUUAUCCCAUUUUUCCACCUUUUAUCAACUAUUUUCUCACCUUCCAUCCACUUUUCCCCUUUCCCCCACCAUCUAUCCAUGUUUUCCACGUUUUUCCCAACUUUCCUUCACCUUUUUUCCACCUUUCCUCCUUUUUUCUACAUUUCCUCCACUUUUUCUACCUUCCAUCCACUUUUUCAACCUUUUAUUCCUUUUUCCACCUUUUAUCCACUCUUUUCCCACCUUUCCUCCACUUUUUUCCACCUUUUUCCACAUUUCCUCCACCAUUUAUCCACUUUUCCAUCUUUUCUCCACUUGUUUCCCACGUUUUAUCCCCUUUUUCCACCUUUCCUCCACUUUUCCCCACCUUCCAUCCACUUUUUCCACUUUUCCUCCCUUUCCCCACUUUUUCUCCACUUUUUCCCAAAUUUCCUCCACUUUUUAUCCCUUUUUCCACCUUUUCCACCCUUUAUCCCAUUUUUCCACCUUUUAUCAACUACGUCCCACAUUUAACCACUUUUUCCACCUUUUAUCCCCUUUUUCCCACCUUUCCUUCACUUUUUAUCCACUUUUUCCUCCUUUUAUCCACUUUUUCCCACCUUUCCUCCACUUUUUAUCCCUUUUUCCACCUUUUCCACCCUUUAUCCCAUUUUUCCACCUUUUAUCAACUACUUCCCACAUUUAACCACUUUUUCCACCUUUUAUCCACUUUUUCCCACCUUUCCUUCACUUUUUAUCCACUUUUUCCACCUUUUAUCCACUUUCCCCCCACAUUUCCUUCACCUUUUAUCCACUUUUUCCACCUUUCCUCCUAUUUUUUCUACAUUUCCUCCACUUUUUCCACCCUCCAUCCUUUUUUUUCCUUUUCCCGCUUUUCAUCCACUUUUUUCCACCUUUUAUCCCCCUUUUUCCACCUUUUAUCCAAUCUUUUCCCACCUUUCCUCAUUUUUUCCACCUUUUUUCCCCAUUUCCUCCACCUUUAUCCACUUUUCCCACCAUUUAUCCACCUUUUAUCCAAAUUUUCCACCUUCUAUCCCCUUUUCUCCCCACCUUCUAUCCACUUUUCCACCUUUUAUCCACUUGCUUCCCACUUUUUCCACCUUUUAUCCCCCUUUUUCCAUCUUUCCUCCAUCUUCUACCCACUUUUUUCCAUAUUUCUUCCACCUUUUAUCCCUUUUUCCACCUUUUACUCACUCUUUUCCACUUUUUCCCUACUUUUUUCCACCUUUCUUCCACCUUUUAUCCACCCUUUCCCCUUCCUCCACCUUUUAUCCACUUUUUUCUUCCCACCUUUCCUGGACUUUUUAUCCACUUUUCUCCCAACUUUUACCCAUUUUUUUCAACCUUUCAUCCACCUUUUAUCCAUUUUCACCUUUUAUCCACUUUUCCCAUCCUUUAUCCAUCUUUUCUCACCCUUUAUCCACUUUUAUCCACUUUUCCCCCACUUUUUUCCACCUUUUAUCCACUUUUUACCCACUUUCCCCACCCUUUAUCCACUUUCCCCACCUUUCAACCACUUUUUUCCACACUUUACCCACCUUUUAUCCACUUUUCCCACCCUUUAUCCACUUUUUAUCCACUUUCCCCUCCCUUUAUCCACCUUUUAUCCACUUUUUCCACCCUUUGUUCACCUUUUAGCCACUUUUCCCACCCUUCAUCCACUUUUUUCCACCCUUUAUCCCCUUUUCCCCACCUUUUAUCCACUUUUUUCCACCCUUUAUCUACUUUUUAUCCACUUUCCCCACCCUUUAUCCACUUUUCCCCACCUUUUAUCCAUUUUUUCCACCCUUUGUUCAUCUUUUAGCCACUUUUUUCCACCCUUUAUCCACUUUUUAUCCACUUUUUCCACCCUUUGUCUGCUUUUCCCACCCUUUAUCCACCUUUUAUCUGCUUUUCCGACUUUUUAUCCACUUUCUUCCACCCUUUAUCCACUUUUUUCUACCUUUUAUCCCCUUUUUAUCCACUUUCCCCCUUUUUCCACCCUUUAUCCACCUUUUUCCACCCUUUAUCCACCUUUUUAUGCACUUUUUCCACUGUUUGUCCACUUUUGAUCCACCUUCCCCACCCUUCCUCCACUUCCCUUCCCUCUUCAUCCUUUUUAUUAUUACUACUUUCAUUUUUUUAUUAUUUUUUUUCCAA